CCUACGGGUGGCAGCAGUGAGGCAUAUUGGUCAAUGGGCGCGAGCCUGAACCAGCCAAGUAGCGUGAAGGAUGACUGCCCUACGGGUUGUAAACUUCUUUUAUAAAGGAAUAAAGUGAGGCACGUGUGCCUUUUUGUAUGUACUUUAUGAAUAAGGAUCGUCUAACUCCGUGCCAGCAGCCGCGGUAAUACGGAGGAUCCGAGCGUUAUCCGGCUUUAUUGGGUUUAAAGGGAUCGUAGUCGGUUUGUUAAGUCAGUUGUGAAAGUUUGCGGCUCAACCGUAAAAUUGCAAUUGAUACUGGCAGUCUUGAGUAGAGUAGAGGUAGGCGGAAUGCGUGGUGUAGCGGUGAAAUGCUUAGAUAUGACGAAGAACUCCGAUUGCGAAGGCAGCUUACUAAACGGCCACUGACAUUGAUGCACGAAAGUGUGGGUAUCAAACAGGAUUAGAUACCCUUGUAGUC
rnacentral:rRNA from 1 species